UACGAAGGGGGCUAGCGUUGUUCGGAAUUACUGGGCGUAAAGCGCACGUAGGCGGAUUGUUAAGUCGGGGGUGAAAUCCUGAGGCUCAACCUCAGAACUGCCUUCGAUACUGGCAAUCUCGAGUCCGGAAGAGGUUGGUGGAACAGCUAGUGUAGAGGUGAAAUUCGUAGAUAUUAGCUAGAACACCAGUGGCGAAGGCGGCCAACUGGUCCGGUACUGACGCUGAGG
rnacentral:rRNA from 1 species